UACGAAGGGGGCUAGCGUUGCUCGGAAUUACUGGGCGUAAAGCGCACGUAGGCGGCUUUCUAAGUCAGGGGUGAAAUCCUGGAGCUCAACUCCAGAACUGCCUUUGAUACUGAGAAGCUUGAGUUCGGGAGAGGUGAGUGGAACUGCGAGUGUAGAGGUGAAAUUCGUAGAUAUUCGCAAGAACACCAGUGGCGAAGGCGGCUCACUGGCCCGAUACUGACGCUGAGGUGCGAAAGCGUGGGGAGCAAACAGG
rnacentral:rRNA from 1 species